UCUCUCUCUCUCUCUCUCUCUCUCUCUCUCUAGACCAUCACUCUCAUGCCGGCCUCUCUCUCCAUUCUCACCGCUCCUUCCUCCGUCGCCACCUUCAACUGCACCACCCCCACCAACGCCACCUCCAACUUCGUCCCCACAAAUGCCACCACUCUCAACGCCGUCAAGACCCUCUUCAACAUCACCAGGCCACCUCCGCACACUCCUCGGAGCCAACAACCUCCCCCUCUCGACCCAACCCGACCCGACCCGACUCGCCCGUCCUCGUCGCCAACAAGCUCCUCGUCCCCUUCUCUUGCACCAAGCCUCAUAUCUGUGUCACCUUUCUCUCUCACCUGACUCACCCGUCUCAGUCGUCGUAAAGACGCUGCUGCUGCCACCUUUCUCUCUCUACCAAGCCUUCCCGCCGACCCUCCACCUUCCCUCGAAAUUUCAAAGGGGUAAGAAAUCAAGGUAAGUUCUUCAAUUUUUCUGGUUUAAUUAGCUUUGGUUAUAGAUUUAUGUGUUUUUGUUUAAUUUAAUUUUGAUUUUAAUUUUGGUUAGGAUGUGAUUGGUAUGAUGGUUAUUUGGUACAGUGGUGGUGGUGGUAUAUUUGGGGCAGAUUGUUGGAAUGAAAUUGAAAGGGAGAUACUGUAUUGAAGUUUACUGACCCCCAGUAGAAGUUUAUGGGGGGCAGUAAACUUCCACCGGGUUUACUAGGGGGCAAUGAAUUUGUUUAUUAGGGUAAGAAUGGGUAUCUGUUGUGUAUAAUUGGCAUGAAAUUGAAAUGAAUAUACUUUAUUGAAGUUUACUGACCCCCAGUAGAAGUUUACUGGGGGGCAGUAAACUUCCACCGGGUUUACUAGGGGGCAAUGAAUUUGUUUAUUAGGGUAAGAAUGGGUAUCUGUUGUGUAUAAUUGACAUGAAAUUGAAAGGAAUAUACUGUAUUGAAUUUUACUGACCCCCAGUACAAGUUUACUGGGGGGCAGUAAACUUCUACUGGGUUCACUAGGGGCCAAUAAAGUUGUUUAUUAAGGUAAGAAUUAGUAUAUGUUGUGUGUUGUGCCCCUGAAAUUGAAAGGGAGUUAUUUUUUGCAAGUUUACUGAUCCCCAGUAGAAGUUAACGGGGGGGGGGCAGUAAAUUUUAUUUUUUCCAUAUGCAGUUUAUAAAUACAAGUUUUUACUAUUUAUAUGCAGGAUGAGAAAACGUUCAAGACAUUUAGUUGUGACUUCUGAAACCUGCGGUGGUGGUGGUGGUAUUUGAGGCGGUCGAACUGAGUGGAUAAAAAACCUACGGUGGCGUUUUAUUUUUUUUCAACCUUUAUCGACGGAAUUCAACUAUUCCGUCUCCUAAGUGGAUAAUUUUUUUUUAAUUGUAAAAUAAAAUCCGUCGUCUAAGUGCUUAGGAGACGAAAGUAUUCCGUCUCCUAAGAACCACUUAGACGAGGGAAUUUUAGGUUCCGUCGCCUAAGUGUCUACCUCACCACACUUAGGCGACGGAUCUUAGCCGAUGGAAAGCUGUCACUUAGGAGACGAAAUAAUUCUGUCUCCUAACACUACCAGGACAAGCAUUUUAGCCGACGAAAAAUUUUCGUCGGCCUGUCAGCUUAAUUCGUCGGUUAAGAUCUUAGCCGACGACCUUUCGUCGGCUAAGAUUUCGUCGGGAAAAGGUCGUCUGUGGUGACUUUAGCCGACGACACAUGUAGAAGUCGUCGGCUAUAGUCCAGAGUUUAGCCGACGAAAAAAAAUGUCGUCGGCUAUAGUCCAGACUUUAGAC
rnacentral:lncRNA from 1 species